UCCAUUCUUCAGAUGAGGUUAGACCAAAAGAACGCAAUUGAUGAACUGCGAUGUCUGUUUUUUGCGUUUCAAUUCUGUCACCGUUUAGACACAUCCAUCCACGUUCUCUCCUCUCUUUUCUAAUCCCUCUCAUGGUUAUGUGGAUCUUAUUCUGAUCUCAACGGCAACAUGGCUAUUCUGAUGAUGGUGGGAUUGAGCCUAUUGGACUUCUUCGUUGCGGGCCUUUCCUUGUUCAUCGGCUUGGCCUUCAUCGCCUUCAUCGCCUCCAUUCUCUGCGCCGCAGCUUUGUUCAACAACGCCAAAGACAUUUCCUCCUGAAUCCUACAUUCAACGCGUCAAUGUGGCUGCAGUGUCCGCAAUUCCUUACAGUAGCAAGGUUACAACGAAAUUGGAACUUGUCUGGGAUUUAAAUUCAUGCUAAGUAUACGUGUUGCUCCGGAGUUAUAAAUUGCCCAAGAUAUUAACUCCCCAAGCUACGGUGGUCAAUGGUGAAGAAUUACCAAGCACAUAUUGCCGCUGUCUUUUAACAACCGAAGUGAUAGCGUGGAGCUCACGAAAUGUAAGUGGACAAGUGAAGCAAUUAGAAAGCAAUCGGAUGAUUUGAUUGCAUCAUUACAUUGCCCAAACCCAUGCCGAAAGCGUCGGUCUCGACAAUCACAAUCAAUGGUAAGGUGAAAUUCUGCAAAUCAAAGACUUGAACUUUGGGUCCCCUUUCAAGAGCAUCUUUAUACAACAACGCAGUAAGGGGAGAAGCAAUCUUUGCAUAAUCGCGGAUGAAGCGACAGCAGAAUGUACCAGUUCAGUCGGCUAAGUUUUUGGUAUAUUAAUUUUUUUAAUACAUGUUAAAACAUCAGUGUCUAUUGAUAUAUUUUGAAGACUUACGAAGGACAACAUCUAAAACUCAACAAAAAUCUAAAUUCAGAAUUUACUAAGGCCAAAAAAUAAAAUCAACAUUUUGAGG